CUGUCUCUAAUUAAUUAUUAAUUUAAUUUAAUUUUUAAGUUAAAAAGCUUAAAUUUUUUUAAAGGACGAGAAGACCCUAUAGAGUUUUACAAUUUGAAUUAAAAUUAUUUUUAAUUUAUAUAUUAAUUUUAAUUCAAAUUGUUUUAUUGGGGCGAUAAUAAAAUUAAUUAAACUUUUAUAAUUUUUAAAACAUUAAUUUAUGAAAUUUUGAUCCUAUAAUUUAGAUUAUUAGAAUAAAUUACCUUAGGGA
rnacentral:rRNA from 1 species